rnacentral:tRNA from 1 species
AAGGAUUUAAGUUAAAUAAACUAACAACCUUCAAAGUUGUAAAUGAAAAUUAUAAAUUUUUUAAACCUUG